AGUGAACGCUGGCGGUAGACCUAACACAUGCAAGUCGAACGGCAGCACAGGAGAGCUUGCUCUCUGGGUGGCGAGUGGCGGACGGGUGAGGAAUACAUCGGAAUCUGCCCAGUCGUGGGGGAUAACGUAGGGAAACUUACGCUAAUACCGCAUACGACCUUCGGGUGAAAGAGGGGGAUCGCAAGACCUCUCGCGAUUGGAUGAGCCGAUGUCGGAUUAGCUAGUUGGCGGGGUAAUGGCCCACCAAGGCGACGAUCCGUAGCUGGUCUGAGAGGAUGAUCAGCCACACUGGAACUGAGACACGGUCCAGACUCCUACGGGAGGCAGCAGUGGGGAAUAUUGGACAAUGGGCGCAAGCCUGAUCCAGCCAUACCGCGUGGGUGAAGAAGGCCUUCGGGUUGUAAAGCCCUUUUGUUGGGAAAGAAAUCUUUCAGGCUAAUACCCUGGGAGGAUGACGGUACCCAAAGAAUAAGCACCGGCUAACUUCGUG
rnacentral:rRNA from 1 species